AAUAAUUAUAAUUAUACACUGUUUAUAUCCAACAUUUGAUCGCUCGUCUUAUUUGAAUUUUUUCUAUGAUUUAUAUUUUUGUUGUUAGUAGAUGAUAAAAUAUAAAUAGUAUUUUAUGUAUGACUAACUUUUUUAAAUAUUUUUAUAAAAUUUUCAAACCUUCGAUACGGAUUCCUACGGCUACACUUAUU
rnacentral:pre_miRNA from 1 species